UCCGAGUUGACCCCGGCAGUCUCCCAUGAGUCCCCGCCAUUACGCGCUGGCAACAUGGAACGAGGGUUGCGCUCGUUGCGGGACUUAACCCAACAUCUCACGACACGAGCUGACGACAACCAUGCACCACCUGUGUCCACGCCCCUUGCGGGGAGGAAUCCAUCUCUGGAAGCCGUCGUGGCAUGUCAAGGGCUGGUAAGGUUCUUCGCGUUGCGUCGAAUUAAGCCACAUGCUCCGCCGCUUGUGCGGGCCCCCGUCAAUUCCUUUGAGUUUUAGCCUUGCGGCCGUACUCCCCAGGCGGGAUGCUUAAAGCGUUAGCUACGGCACAGAGGGGGUCGAUACCCCCCACACCUAGCAUCCACCGUUUAGGGCGUGGACUAC
rnacentral:misc_RNA from 1 species